AUUUUUCCCAAAUCUAUGUUAGAUUAGGAGUUUUGUAUAAGAGUAGGGCGAGAACAAGCAUGUACUAACCAACUUGUGUUUGUUUUUUUUUUUCCAUUUGUUUUUGUCUAACUAUUGUUGUUAACCAUUGCUGCCUGCUUCCCUGCCAGUUUACAAGCAUGUCAUCAACCACAGCAACUCAAUAGCUUCAUUCUGUGACUGGCAGGCUCAAAAUGACUGGACCUGUAAAAGUCUUGACAGCAAACAGCUAAAAGAUCUCUUUACGACUUCAGAAGGCAGGAAUCUGCGGAGUGGGGAGAAAAAAAGAAGAAAAAAAGAAGAAAAAACAGUACAGAAAUUUUGGUUGCGUUAUCUCAAGAGAAAGUUGUAUGAAAUAACCAAGAUCUGCUUUAUUUUGUAGGCAUUUGGGAUAUUACUCAGAAUGAUCAGAAUACAUAUAUAGAUGUGGUGUAACUUUAAUAGAAUAGCAAGCUGGAAAACAAUGUGUUGAAACAGUGUAUAAAACCUACACUGACAAAUCUAGAUCUUAAUUAUAUUUUUAAUAAUUAUAUUUUUGUUUGGUAUUUGUGUCUUUCCUCUAGCAUAUUAUGGUACCAAAACAUAAUGGAUAGUUGCAGUUAAAAAGGAAAAUGUAGAUAUUUGCACAGAGCUAUUUACCUAUGGUGGUGCUAUCUGCUUUUUCAAACUGGGGUCUGAAGUGUUUGGCUUUAGCAUGAAUUUCUUAAAGUUUGCUGGAGUCCUCCAUUAUGUUACUUUUAAACAAGCUAUUUAUACAACUAUCCAAAUACUAGGCAUCAGUUCAUAGUAGCAGUCUGUAUUCAGUCCAGAUUUCAGGACAAGAAUUGAAAUAACCUGAAUCAGCAGCCCAACUGCCUUCAGUCAGUCUGUAAUUGACUGUCUAUUCUGCAGAAAGUGCUAUUGUUCUAACAACUAAUAUUAAAUUGAAAUGUCUGUGAAACUUCAUAUUUUGAUCAGAUGUUCACAAAGAUUAUUUAAAACCAUUUAUCAGCAUCAAAUGUGCAAGCAAGGCAAUUUUUCUAAGUAGAAAGAGAAAACUAUUUUGUCUGGUAGCACUGUGCUACUGUUUUUUGCCUUAAUUUAUUGUUUAAUUCUUUACCUCUGGUUGACAUGUCUGUUGGUUAUUUGUGUUCUCUCCUUGCCUUUAUUGUGUAGUUAAGGAAAGUAGAAAACUAAAUCUUAAAGUGAAUAUCAGAUCUUCUGUUAUAUGUGAUCUCAUUUGCUCAUCACAUACUGAAUAUGCAGAUUGUACUAAAGUAUUUUUAGUGUAUGAAUUAUUUUUUCUUGGUAAAUGAGCUGAAUAAAAAAUACAGGAGUUUAAGUUUGUAGCAGUGU